CCCAGGGGACCUCCAGGCUGCAGGAAAGAAAGGGUUCAGAGUCUGGCUGAAAGCAUGGGGCUCCCAGGGUCAGACUGGGAGAGAAGGAGGCUGGCAAGUUGGCUGGGUUGGAAGGGACAAGUGGGAGUCAGACUUGGCCUGGGAGCCUGGAUGGGUGGGACCUCGGGUCUGCUGAGGUCACGGCAGGGGAGCUAAGGUGAAAGGUGUCAUUGUGAAGGCGAGGCUGUGGCUGUCUCUGGAGGAAGAGAGGGCAGAAGGGCCUCAGGCCCAGCCAGAUCCCUGCAUCUGGGAGGAGGCUGCUUCAGGCACCUCUGGGCCUGGGGGAGGCCUGCUUGCAGGCAAAGUGUGGGAUCCGCUGUCUGCACAGCAGUCCACGGGGCCCACUUGUAAGGAUGUCAGCGGCCCACAGGACGGGAAUGUAUUAACGAGGGCCAUCACCACCGCCAUCAUCUCACAUGACUCCAGCCUCCAUGGGGGAACGGUGUCCCUUCUAUGCCCAGAAGCCUUAAGUGGAUCCCCCAGAAUCACAAGCUGGAGGCCGGGGCAAGCUACAUGUGAGAAGGCAAGCAGCCUGCAGCAAGGCUCAGGUGAUGUCUGCACGGCCUGACAUCAAACCUACAGGAAAUUCCCUAGGACGAGCAGGAAGAAACCCAGGAACUACUGACAUAAGAAGAAAAACUAGUUCACCCUCUUUUCUUCUCUGGCCGCACUGCGUGGCCUGCGGGAUCUCAGUUCCCGGACCAGGGAUCGAACCCACACACCCUGGAGCGGAAGCGCGGAGUCUUAACCACUGGACCUCCAGGGAAGCCCCUCACCCUCUUUUCUAUUCUCAAAGUAUAAAUGGUUCGUGGUCAUUUCUAAGAGGCCAACUUCAAUAAUUAGUACGUAAUUUGUAACAUUAACCAGGGAGAUGAUCCAGGAAGGCCUAAAGAGAAACGCUUUGUAAGACCUUUGGCUGCAUCCUGUCAGUCUUGUCACUUGUUACCUCCCAAAGGCUAGAAGAGGCCACGCAGCUCAUAAGAGGGCCUGGCUCUCAGGAAAUGGCUCGAGGCUAAUUUCCUGGAGAAGGAAGAGGAAAGGGAAUCACAGGUAAAUGAAGAGAAACUGAGCUCCCUGUAGACUGAGGGCCUCAGUAAACCUUGUUCGUCUGUCUGAGUAUCACACAGGAAAGACCAGGCAGAGAGCCGGCCUGGGCUCACACAUCAGAUCUAUUUCCAGCCUGGGCAACAGAUGCACUCUCUGAACCUCAGUUUACUCAGCUGAAAAAUGGGCAAUAAUGCAGGAGCUCACCCACAUCAUAGGAAAAAUGAAGAGAUAGUCAUAGGAAAGCUUGCUGGCCCAGCGCCCG